UACAGAGGGUGCGAGCGUUAAUCGGAAUUACUGGGCGUAAAGCGUGCGUAGACGGUUAUUUAAGUCGGGUGUGAAAGCCCCGGGCUCAACCUGGGAAUUGCAUUCGAGACUGAAUAGCUAGGGUACGGUAGAGGGAAGUGGAAUUUCCGGUGUAGCGGUGAAAUGCGUAGAUAUCGGAAGGAACAUCAGUGGCGAAAGCGACUUCCUGGACCCAAUACUGACGCUCAUGUGCGAAAAGCGUGGGGAGCAAACAGGGAUUAAGAAAACCCCUGGUAC
rnacentral:rRNA from 1 species